rnacentral:rRNA from 1 species
AAUCAACGCUGGCGGCGUGCCUCAGACAUGCAAGUCGAACGAUUAAAGCUCCCUUCGGGGAGUGCAUAGAGUGGCGCACGGGUGAGUAACACGUAAGUAAUCUACCCUCGGGUGGGGAAUAACGUUCGGAAACGGACGCUAAUACCGCAUAAUGCAGCGGCACCGCAAGGUGACAGUUGUUAAAGAUUUAUUGCCUGGGGAGGAGCUUGCGGCAGAUUAGCUUGUUGGUAAGGUAACGGCUUACCAAGGCUACGAUCUGUAUCCGGUCUAAGAGGACGGUCGGACACACUGACACUGAAUAACGGGUCAGACUCCUACGGGAGGCAGCAGUCGGGAAUUUGGGCAAUGGGGGAAACCCUGACCCAGCAACGCCGCGUGAAGGAUGAAGUAUUUCGGUAUGUAAACUUCGAAAGAAUAGGAAGAAUUAAUGACGGUACUAUUUAUAAGGUCCGCUAACUACGUGCCAGCAGCCGCGGUAAC